UGCAACCCCCAGCCCAGGAGGAGACUUGACUCGCCUGAGGUCAGCUGGAGCCAGGAACACCUUUGUGCAACAGCUGCCGUGGCCCAUCUGUGAGAGACACGUGGACCCCGUGCCUCGAAACAGGUCCUGGGAGUGGUGUAGGCACCAUGAUCCCCUCAGAAGAUUCAGGGGAAAAAAAAAAGGCCAAGCAAUAAAUGAAGUGAUUUCCAGCAAGGGAGUGCCGUGCGGGGCAGCUCUCGAAGAGGUGGCUUCUCACUCCUGCCGCGCUGAGCCCUGAGCAAGACGGAGCAGCUCUGCACCCAGAGGGGCUGAGCUUACGGGCAGAGAGAGCUGCCUGGGCAGAGGCCCUGCAGGAGGACACAGCGGGAGGGAAGAUGGGCUGACUUUGAGGGCUUCCUGGGCCACGGGAAACAGCAUCAAGCAGCCCCAGGAGGUUAGCCAAGAGUGGGCAGGUGUGCGACUCAGUAAAAGUCAGUUCCUCAGUUUACCCAGUUUACCCAGUAGGAAGGCCACAGGUCCACCAUCUGAGCCCUGAUGACGCCUGAGCCAGGUUUCCUGCCUCUGAGGAAAUUCCAAUUAGAUGCAGGCGAGAUGUGCUGGGCUGAUAAGGCACUAACAAUGGCCCAGGGCAGAAAGCGAGCAGGGCCAGAGGCAGGGCCCAGAGCCCAGAGGCUGCGAGACCGGAGAGGCUGGGGCGGCCAAGACCUCCUUCACGCCUGGGGUCUGGGUGUGGGUGGGGGCCGCCUUGCAUCAACCUGGGGGUAGGGAAGGGAGGAGGUCAGGCACGGCCAGGACUCGUACAGCAGCGGGGUGUCCAGGGCGUUGUGUGAGUGUCCCAUGGCUGCCCUGACAAAUCACCACAAGCUUAGAGGCUGAAACCUCGCAGCUGCUUCUCUCCUGCUUCUGCAGGUCAGAAGUCAGACAUGGCUCUCACUGGGCCAAAAUCCGGAUGUCGACAGGGCUGGUUCCUUCUAGAGGCUCUGGGAAGCCCUGGUCCUUGUGCUCCCAGCUUCCAGGCCACCCGAAUUCCUUGGCUCCUGGCCCCUUCCUCUUUCUCCAAAUCCAUCAUUGGAGCAUCUUCCAGUUCCUCUCUCUGAGUGUGAUGCCCCUGGCUCCCUCCUGUGAGGGCCCCGGGGUUCCUCAGGCCCACUGGCUAAUCCAGGACACACACCCGCCCCCCACAUCCAGGUCCUUCACUGAAUCAUGUCUGCAGAGUCCCUUGGCCACCCAAGUUAACACAGUUGCAGGUGCAGGGGUUAGGACGAGGGGCACCUUUGGGGAUUGUUUGAGCCUGCAGGGUUGACGUCAAGGUCAACAUUUCUGGGCUGGAGAUUCAGGACCCCGAGGUCAGGGUCGGGGACAGGACCGAGCUGCCAUCUACAGGGGUUUGAGGGGACUGAGAAGCCACAGAAAAUCUCAUCGUAGGAUGUGGCUGUUACACGCAGCCAACACCAACAGGCGAGGGGUUGUGGAGCCCUGCGAAUCCCAGACUUUGGAGCAAGAAGCCCUGGCUUGGCCUCUCACCAGCUGUGCGCCCCGGGGCAGGUCACUCUGCCUCUCUGAGCUUCACUUUCUGCAAGUGAGGGGCAGGGAGCAGAAGAGGCCCUGGCUUUCCAGGGCUUGCGGGGACAUCUGUGGGAGGAUAUUUGUAACCUGCAUGACACAGUGCCCGGCACAUGGUAGGUGCUCAACCUGUGAUGGCAACGUCCCAUGGGCCAUCCCAGCGGGGCCUGGGGAAGAAGGUGACAUGACCCACCCAAGACCACUUUACAAGGCGAGAAAGUAAAGCUUGUCCCGAGAACAGCUACAUGACAGCUGAGGGAUCAGAGACCUGGGCAAGCCACAGAGGGCGCUUAAUGAAUGCGUGUCGAAUGAAUGAACAAGUGACUGUGAGGUGGCAUUAGAUGGGGACGGAGGAGCCGACGGGGUGCCCUGGGUCCUGUGCAGGGGAGGGGGCCACAGAGAGAGGAAGUGAGGCUGCUGAGCACUGCCCAGGACGGAUGGACAGAGCCACUGGGGCAGGGCCGGGGAGGGCAGAAGCUGGAGCGUAGCCGAGGCCCCCGCCCUCUUGCUGGCUAGAUGUUUAACUCUGGUGAAUGGCCCUGAGCGGGCACCACACCAGCCUGGAGUCUGCUCCCGGGAGGGGCGGACACAAAGCCUGCAGGCCAGGGGCCUCCUGACCAGAGCUGCCUGUCCAGGGCUCAGCCCAGAUGGGGAUCAGCUCCUCUUCCAGGCGGGCUUAGGGGGCUUCACGUGUACUUCCUGUCUGAGAAGCGCUGGUGUGGACACCCAUGGAAGAAGGCAGUGUUGUAAGCACGGGGACAGAGACGUACGUGAGCAGAUGGAACCCCCGAAGACCUGCAGCUGUCAUCCUGGGACUGUGUGCCCGGCACUGUGCUAAAUGCUCCCUGGGGCAUCUCGUGUAACCUUUGCAGGAACCCUAAAAACGACGAUCAGAUUAGCCUCCUCCUCUUGAAAAUGGAGACAAAAUUCAAAUAACAUAAACUUCACCACUUUAACCAUUUUAUUUUAUUUACAUAUUUUUUUUGAGACAGAGUCUCGCUCUGUUGCCAGGCUGGAGUGCAGUGGUGCGAUGUAGGCUCUCUGCAACCUGGGCCUCCCGGGUUCAAGCAAUUCUGUCUCAGCCUCCCGCGCAGCUGGGACUGCAGGGGUGUUCCACCACACCCAGCCAAUUUUUGUAUUUUUAGUAGAGACAGGGUUUCCACAUGUUGGCCAGGAUGGUUUCGGUCUCUUGACCUCAUGAUCUGCCCGCCUUGGCCUCCCAAAGUGCUGGGAUUACAGGCAUGAGCCACUGCACCUGGCCCACUUUAACUAUUUUAAAGGGUACAAUUCAGUGGCGUUCAGUGCAGUCAUGAGGUUGUGCAGCCACCACCUGUAUCUCAUUUCAGAAUAUGCCCAUCACUCCAAAAGGAAAACCCUAUCCCCACGAUCCGUGGUUCCCCAGCCCCCUGGCCCCCAGCCCUAAGCAGCCACUAAGCUGCCUUCUGUCUCUACGGAUUGCCGGUUUUGGGUAUUUCAUGUCGAUGGGAUCAGUGUGUGGCCUUGUGUCUGGCUUCUGUCUCCAGGCAUAUGUUGUCAAGGGCUAUCAUUCCUUUUCUUGGCCAAAUAAUGCUCCAUGUUGUGGACACAUCGUAUUUUGUUUAUCCGUUCACCUGCUGAUGCAUGCCAGAUGGUUGUUUCCAACUUUUUAAUUCCCAUUAUAAAGAUAAGGAAACUGGCCAGGUGCGGUGGCUCAAGCCUGUAAUCCCAGCACUUUGGGAGGCCAAGGCGGGUGCAUCACCUGAGGUCGGGAGUUUGAGACCAGUCUGACCCACACAGCGAAACCCCGUCUCUACUAAAAAUACAAAAAAUCAGCUGGGCGUGGUGGUGUGAGCCUGUAAUCCCAGCUACUCAGAAGGCUGAGGCAUGAGAAUCACUUGAACCUGGGAGGCGAAGGUUGCAGUGAGCUGAGAUCGCGCCACUGCGCUUCAGCCUGGGAGACAGAGACUCUGUCUCUAAAUAAAUAAAUAAACAAACAAAUAAAUAAAUGUAAACUGAGGCUAAACCGCUCCACUCAGGGUCAACACCUGCCCUGUGACCCAGCAGUUCCACUUUUCGGUAUUUAUCUAGGAGAAAUGAGAACACAUGUCCACACAAAGACCUGUGCACAAAUGUUCACAGCAUCUUUCUCUGUAAUAACUUCGAGCUGGCAACGAUCCAAAUAUCCAUCCACAGGAGCUGGGUAAACAAACCGUGGUGUCAUCCUGGAGUGGGACGCUCCUCAUCAGGAAAGAGGAAAGAAUGACCCAUGCACGCAGCAGCUUGGAAGAGUCUCAAAAACAAGAUGCCAAUGAAGGAAGCCAGGCACGGGACUGCAACUGUAAGCUGUGACUCUGUGUGACUCCAGCGGUACGAACUUCCAGGAAAAGCAAAAAUAUGGGACAGAGUAUCCACAAGUGGCAUUCAGGGACUGGAGUGGGAACUGGCAGGGAAAGGGGAAAUGUAUUGAUUAUUUCGAUUGCAGUGGUGGGGAGGAGGGUGGACACCUGUGCCAAACUCACUUAAAACGGAUGUAUUUUAUUGUAUAAAUUAUGCCUCAAUGAAAUCCAUUCAUAAAAAGA
rnacentral:lncRNA from 1 species